GGCGUUUCCGCUUAAAGAAGCUAAAUUUUCAGUCUGGGGCGCUGGCGAUCCUGGGUUCAAAUCCCAGCUACCCCACCA
rnacentral:tRNA from 1 species